rnacentral:rRNA from 1 species
AUUGAACGCUGGCGGCAGGCCUAACACAUGCAAGUCGAGCGCGCGGCGGACGGGUGAGUAAUGCCUGGGAAUUGCCCAGUCGAGGGGGAUAACAGUUGGCAACGACUGAUAAUACCGCAUACGAUUGGAUUGCCCAGGUGGGAUUAGCUAGUUGGUGCGGUAAUGGCUCACCAAGGCGACGACCCCUCGCUGGUCUGAGAGGUUGAUCAGCCACACUGGAACUGAGACACGGCCCAGACUCCGACGGGAGGCAGCAGUGGGGAAUAUUGCACAAUGGGGGAAAGCCUGAGGCAGCCAUGCCGCGUGUGUGAAGAAGGCCUUCGGGUUGUAAAGCACUUUCCGCGAGGAGGCGGUACUCGCAGAAGAAGCACCGGCUAACUCCGUGCCAGAAGCCGCGGUAAUUC